rnacentral:rRNA from 1 species
UACCUACGGGAGGCAGCAGUGGGGGAUAUUGCACAAUGGGGGGAACCCUGAUGCAGCGACGCCGCGUGGGUGAAGGAGCGUUUCGGCGCGUAAAGCCCUAUCGGCAGGGAAGAAGAUGACGGUACCUGACCAAGAAGCCCCGGCUAACUACGUGCCAGCAGCCGCGGUAAUACGUAGGGGGCAAGCGUUAUCCGGAUUUACUGGGUGGAAAGGGGGCGCAGACGGCAAUGCAAGCCAGGAGGGAAAGCCCGGGGCCCAACCCCGGGACUGCGCUUGGAACUGCCUGGCUGGAAUACCGGAGGGGG